CCGACCCUCUCGUUCACUCCGGAAUCACUCGUGUUCCGCGGCCCGCGCAGGCGCAGCCAGUCUCAGUUACCAACCCGCAAGGGAGCGAGAGAGGUGUGUCGACGUUGGGUCUCCAGGAGUAUUCACAGACCCCUACGCUCCCCUACACUCUCUCCCUCCCUCCCCUUGACAUCCCCGUAUUGUCCUCGAGCAACACGUGAGCGGCAGUGAAGUGAUGCAGUGUAUUAUGAUGUGUCAGCUCUGUUCUUGCCGAGUGCUGACGCCGUAAACAACAUAACCAGCAGUGUUUGUGAUGUGUUGCGUCAUUGAGUACUGACAAGUGAUGACGCCAUAAAUAACCAUACUCACUAGUGUUUUGUGAGGAGUUAAGUGUAAUUACUAGUGCUGAUAAGUGCUGACACCAUCACCGUGUUGUGUCUAGUGUUCCUUACUGGCUGACACGUACGGUUUUUACUACUAAAGCUACUACUACUGCAACAACAACAACAACAACAACUACUACUACUACUGCUACCUCAUCUCUACUGCUUCGUCGUCUGCUCCUACUGAUGAUCCAGUCAGUUAGUCGAGCAGUGGAUGAGACUAGUCACACCCAUCCAUCUACUUUGCCAGGAAGGAAGCCUCAGUCAGCCAGCCGACCACACAACAUCCGGCCAGUCAACUCGCUAUUCCCCCGUCCUGAUGUGAAAGGAUGAGAUGCUUUUUUUUUAUCGUGAAUGAGAACGAAGAUGGGCACCGAGUCACCGACUGUGGCAGUCUUCCCAACAGACUCUGCCUCCAUUGUUUCUACGGACCAUCUAUGGGUGGGUAGGAACUUUCACCGUGUAGUCAGCAGGCCUCACGGGGAAACAAUCAUGCUUAUAAUCAUGUAUACCUCGUUCGAUUUCGUUCACGUACUUCUCGUGUUUUUAUAUAUGCCGCGGGGCGAAAUAAAACUAUUAUUAUUAUUGUUAUUAUUUUAACGCUUUUUCAUGUAACUCCUAGAAGCGUAAGGUCGUAAAUCUUCUUCCGAGCUACUUUUACCUUGGUGUUGCGGGAGCACCUUACGACGCUGUGAUAUGGGGAGGGAGAGGAAGCAGGUGCCCUGCCUGAGUUACGUGGUGGGGAAGCAAACCACGACCCACGAGGCGAGGGAGAGGGAACAAUGGGUGGGAUGAGCAAACAACCGCACUAGUCGAAAACAAGAUAACACACACACACACACAGGAAGAGGAGAGCUGUCAUCUGACGAUCAAGAAUUACCCUAGGACCGAGCAAGAAUUUCCCCAAAUCUAGGUAAAUUCUUGCGUUUCUUGUUUUAGCGCGUCAAAUUUUCAAGAAUCCCCCUAAAUUCUUGACAAGAAUCGGCUGUCCCGCGCAAGCCGCGGCGGGGCAGGGUACGGUGUGUCCACAUUCUUGCUGGCCGCACCUUUUUAGGCCUGUGGCGAUGACCAUUUCCUGAGCUUCCUAUGGGUAAUCCUGCCAGGUGGGGGUGGAUAUAGAGUUCACGAGGUUACUGUUGUGUUACUGCGGCACCAGAGAACAUUUUAAAGCAUCAUUGUAGGACAAACUUUCCGGUAUGAAAACAUCACCGUCAUCAUUAAAGACAAAAAAGUGAAACGAUGCCAUUUGUCAAUAUUUUUUUCGCGGAAGGACGUUUUAAGAAAUUCCGUCGCAUACAGUGACGCUGAGCAGCUAGGGAAAUGUUCUUAAUGAACUGUAGAUCUCGUAAUAGUGACUAAACUAACGCGUGUUGUCCUUGAUGAGUGACAAAAUGAGAAAUAGUGUUGAUUCAUCCAGGCAUAUGAGCAAGAAAGAGUGCUCUGGCGAAUCACGGGUGGGAGGUAAAAAACAGUCUCAAGAAUGGGCCGGGGGUCAAGAAAGCCAGAUAUCACCAGAUGACGCCUGAGGAUAAAAGGAAACUACCGUCAGUCCCUCAUUCACUCAGUUAUAUCCUCACCCACUUUAGCCUCCCCCCCCCCCUCUCUA